GUUGGUGAUUUAACGCAGUGGUCACACCUCUUCCCAUUCCGAACAGAGAAGUUAAGCACUGUAGUACCGAUGGUAGUCCGUAAGGGCGAGAGUAGGUAAUCGCCAGCA
rnacentral:rRNA from 3 species